rnacentral:sRNA from 1 species
UAGUAAUAUCUGGGUUUGUGUUCUUGAGAAUGUUGUUUAAGUAGUGAUUAGGGUUCUUGAGGAUGAAUUAGAUUAGGGUAAUCUCUAGGUUAGUUAGGUGGUUACUGUUUAACUUUAUACCCUUCUGGAUUCGCUUGGCCCCUAUGUGGUUUUUGCUGGCUAAUGUGGAGAUUCGAUCAUAGACGUCCAUUGUCCAAAAGAUGUUCAAAUGGAUGUCUGACCUACGAAUUCCAGAGAUUUGUAGACUCGACCAAGAGAUUGGCUUGUCUGCCUAUUGGCUUUGGUAGAUUGUUUCGUAAACCCUGCUCUUCUAUGUUUCAUCAACGAGAGUUGAGAUUAGGAAGUGGUAGAGUUAUGGGGGUCUCUAUCACGAGAGUGGAUUGACCCGGUUUUUGAAUCUAUCGUCAUGGGUAUCUACCUUUCGCCUAUUAGCCAUCUGAUGAACCCUAGAGUUGCCCUUAUCAAUGAAUCCAUCCUUAGAACUUCUAUUAGAUUUAUUUGUAUCCCUUGUUAAUUGCACUUUUAUUUACCUGUUAUUUGUAUCCCCUGUUGAUUGCAUUUAGGUUACUUAAUUUUGUUGCAUGUUUGUUCUACUCGACCCAAUGAUCGAGUAGGGCUCUUUAAGUUCUCAUUUUUACUUGUUUGAAUCCUGACCUAGGAUUGUUACUAGAAACCCACCAUCUUUAUAAUCUGGCUUGACUUAGUUAUUUCUGUACAGAUCUUGAUUGCUAGCAAUAACAGUAGACUGGAUAGACACCCCUUAUAGCUGCAUCGACAUGUUUGUGUUUUAGGGGAAUUGAACUGAAUCACACAUUCACCCUAAGCAGGCAU